AUUGAACGCUGGCGGCAUGCCUUACACAUGCAAGUCGAACGGCAGCAUGGAGAGCUUGCUCUCUGAUGGCGAGUGGCGAACGGGUGAGUAAUGCAUCGGAACGUACCGUGUAAUGGGGGAUAACGUAGCGAAAGUUACGCUAAUACCGCAUACGACCUGAGGGUGAAAGCAGGGGAUCGCAAGACCUUGCGUUAUACGAGCGGCCGAUGUCAGAUUAGCUAGUUGGUGAGGUAAAGGCUCACCAAGGCGACGAUCUGUAGCGGGUCUGAGAGGAGGAUCCGCAACACUGGGACUGAGACACGGCCCAGACUCCUACGGGAGGCAGCAGUGGGGAAUUUUGGACAAUGGGGGCAACCCUGAUCCAGCCAUGCCGCGUGAGUGAAGAAGGCCUUCGGGUUGUAAAGCUCUUUCGGCCGGGAAGAAAUCGCACAGGCUAAUACUCUGUGUGGAUGACGGUACCGGCGUAAGAAGCACCGGCUAACUACGUGCCAGCCGCCGCCGUAA
rnacentral:rRNA from 1 species